rnacentral:rRNA from 1 species
CAGCAGCCGCGGUAAUACGAAGGGGGCUAGCGUUGCUCGGAAUGACUGGGCGUAAAGGGCGCGUAGGCGGCGGCCAAAGUCAGGCGUGAAAUUCACGGGCUCAACCUGGGGGCUGCGUUUGAUACUUGGUUGCUUGAGUGGGGAAGAGGGUCGUGGAAUUCCCAGUGUAGAGGUGAAAUUCGUAGAUAUUGGGAAGAACACCGGUGGCGAAGGCGGCGACCUGGUCCUUUACUGACGCUGAGGCGCGAAAGCGUGGGGAGCAAACAGGAUUAGAGACCCCAGUAGUCCCUGUCUCUUAUAA